rnacentral:lncRNA from 1 species
UGUGAAAGAACUUACCUUUUCACUAAAGCUAUUUAUAGACCCAAUUUUUGUCAAAAUAUUUGCACUCAUUUCUCCUUUUGUUUUUCCUUUAUCAAAAUGGCCUCCUUCAAAGAGAUCAUAUCAACACUCCCAAGAAGAAAAAGCUGGUAUGGCGAUGAUACUUUUUUGUAUCAAGGCUUUUGGUGUGACACAUUUUUUAUUGAAGGAUUAAUGAGAGCUCAACAAAAUUUUCGAUCUCAACCUCCUGAUAUCGUCAUAUGCAGUGCUAUGAAAACCGGAACAACAUGGUUAAAGUCCCUCACUUUUGCCAUUGUAACAAGAUCCACCUUCGAUGAUUCCACUAACCCUCUAUUUAACAAUCUAUCACAUGAUUGUGUACCCCUUUUAGAGGUUGAUUUAGCCCAAUCUUCCACCAAUCGAGACCCUAAAAAUCCUUUGUUAGCCACACAUGCCCCUCACUGUUCUUUACCAAGAUCAAUAAUUGAUUCUAGUUGUAAAAUUGUUUACAUUUGUAGGGACCCUAAGGAUUCAUUAGUUUCGCUUUAUCACUUCUUUGCUAGGUACUUGGCAUCCAAAGACAUGAAGCCUCCUGCUUUAGAAGAGGCCUUUGAGCUUUUUUGCCAAGGUGUAAGCUCUUACGGACCUUAUUGGGACCAUGUUCUAGGGUUUUGGAAAGCAAGUUUGGACCGACCUGAUAAGAUUCUUUUCUUGAAAUACGAAGAAAUGAUAGAAGAUACUAUUUUAUACGUUAAGAAAAUAGCUGAUUUCAUCGGUUAUCCUUUCUCUUUUGAAGAACUUGAAAAAGGAUCAGUCGAAAAAAUCGUAAACAUGUGUAGUUUCGAGAAUUUAAGCAAUUUGGAAGUGAAUAAAAGCGGAAAACACCGUGAGGGAACUCCAGCGGUGAUUGAAAACAAGAUGUAUUUCCGAAAAGGUAAGGUUGGGGAUUGGGAGAAUUAUUUGACACCUGAAAUGGCUGCUCGGUUGGACUCGAUAACGUUGCAGAAGCUAAAUGGUUCAGGCUUAACUCUAUGAUUGAAUAAUAAAGCAGCCAUGGGGUACAUUUUGCCUUCUCUGCAAUUUCGACAUAUUAUGUUUCUAAAAAUAAAUUGUGUAUGCUUUUUGCAAGUAGCAACACUUCUCGUGUUGUUCAUGUUAAGAUCAAUUAAAAGUAUAGUUGGUUCAAUUGAAAUCGAUUCAAUCAAUAAAAUUUGAUAUAAGUUGAUUUGAUUUUGUUAGUUUAAUAUUUAUGGAUAAACUACACCAACUCUCCUAAGUUUUGUAUAAAAUUACAUUUCAGUUACUCAACUUUCAAAAUUUAUAUCAUAGUCACUGACAUGAUCAAAUUGUUACAUUUUUGUCACUCGACUGUUAACUUUAAAGAAGUAACGUUGCACAUAAAUUCAAAAGGUUAAUAGCUAAUUUGGUCCCUGAACUAUAGUUAAAAAAUUAUUUUCACAUUUAAAUAAUUGUAAAAAAGUAAAAAAAAAAGUCUUAAAAAUAAAAUUCAUAUAAAAAACCAGUUGCAGCGAGAAACAACUAAGAAUUUUGCUACUGUCUUUGCUCUUUUUUUCUUUUUUUUUUUCCUCUCUUUUUUCAUGUAGACCGACGUUGGCUCUUCUCUUCCCAAAUCUUUAAAAAUAAUAUAUAGGUUUUAUUUAUAGCUAAAAGAAAAAUAUUGACUUGAAAAGGUGGGUUUGGAGAAGAAGAAUAGCACUUUGUAUUAUAAAUUUAAAAACAAAAACCCAAUCAGUGUAACACCCCAAACCCAAUCUAGACGUUGUGACCGAAUCUUGAAGGUUACAUUAACUUCUUGAAAAUUUAGAUUGUUAUUUUCUGAAAUUUCGACUUGUUUUUCUGUAAAAAUAAAUUCUUAGUAAAAAACUCGUUUUCACUUAUUAGUUGCAAAAAAAAAAAAAAACACCAUUCUACAAUAACGGUUUCUUUAAAACAUUUGUUCUUUACUCAUAAAUUGAAAUAAUAGAAAUACUGUGAACUCGCUUAUUUUUCAGAAAACUAGAUUUCUCAUUUUGUUUUGCAACGAAAAAACUUUAACUUGUUUAAUUUUGAAAAUAAAACAUUUUUUUUAAUUAACAGAAAUCAUGUAGAAAAUUUAAACUAAUUAACUAAAAAAGCAUAGUUGAUUGAAUAUGUGAAAUGUGAUUAAAAACAACAUGUAAAAGAAAAUGCGAAAUGAUUUAUAUGAGUCCGAAGGAUCGAUAUGAAAGUUAAAAAAAAUCAAUAGAUUUGAUGAUUAAAUGAUAUGAUUAAAUGAUAUUUUUUUUAUAGUGGAAAAAGUAGCAUGGUAUGUUAUAAUGAUUUGCCGAUUUGCAUAAUGUAUGUGUCGAAACAAUUUUUUUUAUAAAACGGGAUCGAUUUUAAUUUUGAAAAUGAAAACGAACAUGGGAGUUGCCACCAAUCCUUUUUAUUUAGGUGUGAUCGGAUCACUUUAUAAUUUAAUCAUUUUAAUAAAAGUUUUAAAUUUACUAAAACGAUAAUUUUUGGUCUACAAAAUCCAGAAAAUGGGUUCGGGAGUCAAUUACGCACGAGGAAGGGUUAGCACGCUCGUAACGCCCAGAAAUUGGUACCUAGUUGAUUAAUUAGUGUCUUAGUGUUGAGGAUUGAAAACUUUGAAGAGUUUUAAAAAUACGAUCCUUAAAAAAAACUCGAAUAACAUGGGUUAGAAUUUAGGAUUCUCUUGUUCUGAAGGAAUAUCACAUCCAGCACGUUAGGAUACAAUACUUUAAACCCUUGAAACCAAGAUUACCUUACGGUUUCCAAAACCCAUAUUUUUGAAAUUUUAAGAGGAUAUUUGGCUAUUUGGUCGAACGAGAAAUCGAAACCCAGCACGUUAGGGCGUGUUUUCUCGAAUUUCCAAACGCAAAAUAUUGUCUUAUUUUAAAACUCUUUUUUUUGAAUAAUAGCGAGUACAACACUUGAACGACAUACAUUUGUUUUAUUUAUGAUAAAACAUAAAAGUUUAUUAUAGGUAUAUACAAAUCGAGCGCAACUUUUAAAGUGAUGAAAUGGAAUGAUAAUGGGGCAUGAAAUAACAACUAACGAAUAAAAUGAUACAUUAAUGCAUGACAAGUAUACGAAAACACGAAUAAAUGAAGCAUAGUUCCCACAAUUACAAUAAGCACAGAACAUAUAACAUUUUAAUACCAACAUUAAUAAUCAAAGGGAAAUAAAGAAAUAAUAUAUGAAAUAAUUUGAAGUAAAUAACAAUAUAAAAUAAGUGAUUUAUAAGAACAAUAAAUAAUAAGGGUUUCAAAUAAACAAUCAAUAGGAAUCUUAAAAUAAAUAAUAACAAAACAGUUUAAAAUAAAUAAAUAAAUAAGGUAUGGAACAGUUUUAAAGAAUAUAUGAAAAUUUGAAAGGCAUAUAUAUACAAUUGAUAAUAUAAAUAUUAUGUAAAACCGUUUAAAACAAAUAAUGUAUGGAACUUAAAAUUAAUAAUGCUAACGAGCCUUCUUUUUUUUAAAAGAAUGAAUAUAAAUUAAAUGGGCCUAGGACGAAAUUGAAUUCGAAUUAAAGAGUCGGGUCUAAAUUAAAAAAAAAGGCUGCCGAGGAUCAAAAUAAGAUGCGCCCGAAGAACGAGGGACUUAUUGGGAAAAUAUUUCCUUCCCUCAUGCGCAAGUUCAACACGGACCAGAUUGGAACGAACGGAAAAUCAUGCGGCCUAAAUAAAAAGACAACAUGGAUUAGAUUGCACCACAGCGCAAAAGCGGAGGGACCCCUCACAUAAAUAGACCCUCCAAGCAAAACACGCGGAUCCUGCUACUGGGUCGGGUCGCGCUUGCGGGUUAAGGGCCAAAACAACGUCGUUUUGGUAACUGAACCCUAACUUACAAAACGGCGCCGUUUAAUAACCUUAUUUAAAUCAAAUUUAAAAAAAAAUCAUUUUUUUAGUGUUUAGAGAAAAAAAAAACUUCAAAAUCUCCCAUAUGUCUCUCUCAACCCCACUUGGCCAGCGUGGGUUCCCUCGGAGAAUCUGCUGCACCACCGCCGUCUGCAACUCUCGACUCAACAAUGUUUGUAUAGUUCCUUUACGUUUUGGUAUAUGACAUGUACUUAAGUUUUGAGUUGGUUUUGUAUCUUGGAUGGUCAUUUGGAAAAUUGGAUAGUUGAUGUCAAUUUGAAUUUAUGAAUAUGAGAUGUUUAAGUUAUCAUGAACAUUAUGUGAUGUUUAAAUGGUUAAGUGGUAUAAACGAUCAUAUGUAUUAAGUUAGAUCUGAGUUGUGAAUGGUUAAAUUGAUAAACAUGAAUGAUAAUGACAUAGCAAAGGUAGUAUAUGAAGUGUUGAUGUAGGUAUUAUGCUUGAACGGAUUGGUUUCGCAUUGGUUAUUUUGGUUAUUAGGUUAGCAUGGAUUGGUUCCAUAUAAACAUUUCAAAACAGCAUGUCAUGUUGUAACAAGAAAUUGAUAGUGAAUGAUGUCGCGACUUGGAAUCUCCCAAGUUGUGACGUCAACUCGAUAGUUUUAACAUUUUAUAUUUUAGUCCUUAAACGACCUUAGGUUAUCGAAAGAGCUUUCGUAUGCUCGUAUAAACCUUGGAUAUGUUUGUUAAUAUGAUAUAAUGAUGUAUUGAUCAUAAUUACAUGUAUAAACUGUUGAAUUGAUAAAAUUUAGAUCGUAGUUGUUCCAACAACGAAUGUGACAUCCCAUAACUUGGACCUGCGAUCAAGUAGGGUAUGGGGUUUACGAGAAAGGUGGGCUUCGAGAAGAAGAAUAGCACUUUGUAUUAUAAAUUUAAAAACAAAAACUCAAUCAGUUUAGUAAAUGGAGUUAGAGAAGAAAUAAUGGGUUUAGAAAAGAAGUAGAGCACUUUGUGUUAUAAAUUAAAUGAAAAAAAAAAUCAAAAAUUUCAAAAAAUUGAAACUUACCAAAGAGUCCAAAUAAAUAUAAUAUAAUACAACAUUUUGCUCUUCUCUCUUGCUCGAUAGGCCGUUGGUGGUAGAAGUUUUUAUGAUUCUCAAGAAUGAAAGCACUGUUACCCAAGCCUUGAUAUUGUUUCCUGAAAAUUCGAGCAGCAACAAUCGGUCUAAUAAUUAUAAUUAGUUAGACUUUUCUAGAUAAUAAAAUACUAUUACGUACCAAUUUUACAAACUACUAACAAUAUAUAUUUGACAGUUAAAAGUUUUUUUUUACAUAAAACGAAUAUUUAGAAAAUUUUAAUGUAUGUCAAUCUUGACAUACAUGAUCUAUAUGAAUGGAGUAUGAAAUAUGACGGUAGGAUUGUUAAAAUAAAAAUUGUAUAAAAAGUUACUAAAUUAUGCAAAACCACUUUAAUUUUACAACCGUGUAAGUGAAUUUCUCCUCUUAUUUUAUUUUUUAAGUAUUAUAUUAAUAAUUUUUAUCUUACAUAUUUUAUUUAUGUUUUCUGGGUACAUGUUUUAUCUUAAGAUUUGUAUAAUUCUUUACACAAUAAUAAUUCAUUUUACAUAGUUAUAAAAAAUCAUUAAUUUUACAUAAAUUUUGAUAUAUUAUUAUAUUUUGGUUUAUGUUUAUUUCUAUGUGACAUGAUAAUUUUAAUUAUUUAAAUUUUUUUUAUCUUCGAAUAAAUUUGUCAAAUAAUUUAAUAUUUAAAUCAUUAUAUAUAGUGUACAAAUCAUAUAAUAAAAAAUUAAUCUAACUUUACGAAGCAUAAUGAGCAGGUAUAUUCUAGUGAUAUAUUAAAUAUAUUAUAUAACUCUUUUACAUACUUUUUUUACCUUCAAAAAGUCAAAUUCUUGAUCAUUUUAGUCUCUUUUUUUAUUAUCAUUUUAGUUUUGAAUCAUCAAAUUUCAAUUAAAUUACCUUUUUUUUGGACGUAAAAGGUUGACCUAACAAGUAAACUUUUAAACGUGAUAGCCUGUAUAGUAGUGCAUGUGUAUUUUAUUGUUGACGUGGAUGAUUAUUUUCAAAACUUUUAUGAACUUUUUGAAUUUUUAUUUUUAUUUAAUUUAUGAAGUAAGCGCGGACUUUCAUGUGUGUCACCAUGUCACUUCCGUUAAAAUUUUAAUAGUCCAAUUAAUUUUUCAGUUCAAAGAAAAACAAUUUAACAAAAAUUUGAAAAUUUAAAACAAACCGAUCCAAAAAAGUAUCAAGACAAAUGCAUUUAAGAAAAGAGAAAUUAUUUGGUAUACUGCCGGUAGAGCUUUUAUACUCCACAAGCAAAAUCAGGGGUUAAUAAGUAUCCUAUAGAAAAUACCAAUUUUUUAAGAUUACUUAUAAAAUAAAAUAAAAAUACACUUCACAGUUCACCCCAAUUAUUGUUAACAAAACCUGAUUCCAAAUCUUUUAAAAUAAUACAAAAAAAUCUAUCAACUAGAUUGUUUAGGGACAAAAUCUUGCAUGGGACAGACCUUGACAAUGGGUAAAUAAGCACUAGCUACAUUUUUUAUUUAUUUAGUCCCUAUAAUUCUAUUUCAAUUCAAGAAAUUACGUGGUGGAUAUAAUAAAAAAAUGUUAUUAAAAGCAAAUAAUUUUCGUCACUAAGUUCACAUGGUUCAAUUACAAAAAAAAUAUUGUGCAAUUGUGAAAGAAAUUACCUUUUCUCUAAAGCUAUUUAUAGACCCAAUUUUUGUCAAAAUAUUUGCACUCAUUUCCCCUUUCUUUUUCCUUUAUGAAAAUGGCCUCCUUCAAAGAGAUUAUAUCAACACUCCCAAGAAGAAAAAGUUGGAAUGACUCAAAUAACGACUUUUUUUUGUAUCGAGGCUUCUGGUGUUACUCGUUUUUCAUUGAAGGAGUGAUGUCGGCUCAACAAAAUUUCCAAUCUCAACCUUCCGAUAUCGUCAUAUGCAGUGCACCGAAAACUGGAACAACAUGGUUAAAGUCCCUCACUUUUGCCAUUGUCACAAGAAUCACCUUCGAUGAUUCCACUAACCCUUUACUUGCCAAUCUAUCACAUGAUUGUGUACCACUUUUAGAGGUUGAUUUAGCCCAAUCUUCCAUCAAUCGAGACCCUAAAAAUCCUUUGUUAGCCACACAUGUCCCUUACUCAUCUUUACCAAGAUCAAUAAUUGAUUCCAGUUGUAAAAUUGUUUACAUUUGUAGGGACCCUAAGGAUUCAUUCGUUUCGUUUUAUCACUUCAUUGCUAGGCGCUUGGCAUCCAAAGACAUAAAGCCCCUUGCUUUAGAAGAGGCCUUUGAGCUUUAUUGCCAAGGUGUAAGCAAUUAUGGACCUUAUUGGGACCAUGUUCUAGGGUUUUGGAAAGCAAGUUUGGACCGACCUGAUAAGAUUCUUUUCUUGAAAUACGAAGAAAUGAUAGAAGAUACUGUUUUAUACGUUAAGAAAUUAGCUGAUUUCAUCGGUUACCCUUUCUCUUCUGAAGAAAUCAAAAAAGGGUCAGUCGACAAGAUCAUAAGCAUGUGUAGCUUCGAGAACUUAAGCAAUUUGGAAGUGAAUAAAAGUGGCAAACACCGUGAAGGAACUCCAGGGGUGAUUGAAAACAAGAUCUAUUUCCGAAAAGGUAAGGUUGGGGAUUGGGAGAAUUAUUUGACACCUGAAAUGGCUUCUCGGUUGGACUCGCUAACGUUACAGAAGCUAAAUGGUUCAGGCUUAACUCUGUGAUUGAAUCAUAAAGCAGCCAUGGGGUACAUUGUCCCUUCUUUGCAAUUUCUGCAUAUUAUGUUUCUAAAAAUAAUUUGUGUAUGCUUUUUGCAAGUAGCAACACUUCUCGUGUUGUUCAUGUUAACAUCAAUAAAAAGCAUAGUUGAUUCAAUAUGUGAAAUGUGAUUAAAAACAACAUGUAAAACACAAUGCGAAUUGGUUUAUAUGAGUCCGGAGGACCGAUAUAAAUUUUUUUAAAAAAUCAAUAGAUUCGAUAUAUAAAUGAUAUGAUUAAAUGAUAUGAAUUGAAAUGAAAAUGAUUGUAUUUUUUUAUAGUGGAAAAAGUAGCAUGGCAUGUUAUAAUGAUUUGUCGAUUUUCAUAAUGUAUGAAUCGAGAUAUAUGACAUGAAGAGAUGAAAUUCAAACGUUUGAAUCUUGAAUAUGUUUUCAUUACAUUUUUGUCGAAUUAAUGUUUAUGUUGGUAUGACUUGAUCAUAAAGGUACUGAUGAUCUUUAUUGUUCAAUGCACACUUUGUUUAUUCCAUGUGAGGUAUUAGUUAAUUUCGAAGACUCGAGGAGUGAUCCAACAUCCGAUCUGCAACUCUCGACUCAACAAUGUUUGUAUAGUUCCUUUACGUUUUGAUAUAUGACAUGUACUUAAGUUUUGAGUUAGUUUUGUAUCUUGGAUGGUCAUUUGGAAAAUUGGAUGGUUGAUGUGAAUUUGAGUUUAUGAAUAUGAAAUGUUUAAGUUAUCAUGAACAUUAUGUGAUGUUUAAAUGGUUAAGUGGUGUAAAUGGUCAUAUAUAUUAAGUUAGGUUUGAGUUAUGAAUGGUUAAAUUGAUAAACAUGAAUGAUAAUGACAUAGCAAAGGUAGUAUAUGAAGUGUUUGAUGUAGGUAUUAUGCUUGAAUGGAUUGGUUUCGCAUUGGUUAUUUUGGUUAGGUUUGUAUGGAUUAGUACCAAAUAAACAUUUCAAAACAGUAUGUCACGUUGUAACGAGAAAUCAAUAGUGAAUGAUGUCGCGACUUGGAAUCUCCCAAGUCGUGACGUCAACUCGAUAGUUUUAACAUUUUAUAUUUUAGUCCUUAAACGACCUUAGGUUAUCGAAAGAGCUGUCGUAUGCUCGUAUAAACCUUGGAUAUGUUUGUAUAAUAAGAUAUAAUGAUGUAUUGAUCAUAAUUACAUGUAUAAACUGUUGAAUUGAUAAAAUUUAGAUCGUAGUUGUUCUAACAACAAAUGUGAUAUCCCAUAGCUUGGACCUGUGAUCAAGUUGGGUAUGGGGUGUUACUAGAAAGGUGGGUUUGGAGAAGAAGAAUAGCACUUUGUAUUAUAAAUUUAAAAACAAAAACUCAAUCAGUAUAGUAAAUGGAGUUAGAGAAGAAAUAAUGGGUUUAGAAAAGAAGUAGAGUACUUUGUAUUAUAAAUUACAAGAAAAAAAUCUAAAAUUUCAAAAAAUUGAAACUUACCAAAGAAUCCAAAUAAAUAUAAUAUAAUACAACAUUUUGCUCUUCUCUCUUGCUCGAUAGGCCGUUGGUGGUAGAAGUUUUUAUGAUUCUCAAGAAUGAAAGCACUGUUACCCAAGCCCUGAUUUUGUUUCCUGGAAAUUCGAGCAGCAACAAUCGGUCUAAUAAUUAUAAUUAGUUAGACUUUUCUAGAUAAUAAAAUACUAUUACAUACCAAUUUUAUAAACUACUAACAAUAUAUAUUUGACAGUUAAAAGUUUUUUUUACAUAAAAUGAAUAUUUAGAAAAAUUUAAUUACGUCAACGUUAACAUACAUGAUCUAUAUGAAUGGAGUAUGAAAUAUGACGGUGGGAUUGUUAAAAUAUUAAUUGUAUAAAAAGUUACUAAAUUAUGCAAAACCACUUUAAUUUUACACCGUGUAAGUGAAUCUCUCCUCUUAUUUUAUUUUUUAAGUAUUAUAUUAGUAAUUUUUAUCUUACAUAUUUUAUUUAUGUUUUCUGGGUACAUGUUUUAUCUUAAGAUUUGUAUAAUUCUUUACACAAUAAUAAUUCAUUUUACAUAGUUAUAAAAAAUCAUUAAUUUUACAUAAAUUUUGAUAUAUUAUUAUAUUUUGAAUUUAUGUUUAUUUCUAUGUGACAUGAUAAUUUUAAUUAUUGAAAUUUUUUAUCUUCGAAUAAUUUUGUCAAAUAAUUUAAUAAUUAAAUAAUUAUAUAUAGUGUACAAAUCAUAUUAAAAAAUUAAUCUAACUUUACGAAGCAUAAUGAGCAGGUAUAUUCUAGUGAUAUAUUAAAUAUAUUAUAUAAUUUACAUAUUUUUUUUACCUUCAAAAAGUCAAAUUCUUGAUCAUUUUAGUCUUUUUUUUUUAUCAUUUUAGUUUUGAACCAUCAAAUUUCAAUUUUUUUUGACGUAAAAGUAGAACUACAAUUAAAAUUUUAACGUGAUUAAUGUGGUAGCCUGUAUAGUAGUGCAUGUAUACUUUAUUGUUAACAUGGAUGAUUAUUUUCAAAACUUUUAUGAACUUUUUGAAUUUUUAUUUUUAUUUAAUUUAUGAAGUAAGCGUGAAUUUUCAUGUGUGUCACCACGUUACUCCCGUUAAAAUUUUAAUAGUCCAAUUAUUUUUUCAGUUCAAAGAAAAACAAUUUAACAAAAAUUUGAAAAUUUAAAACAAACCGAUCCAAAAAAGUAUUAAGACAAAUGCAUUUAAGAGAAGAGAAAUUAUUUCGUACAUUGUCGAUAAAGCUUUUAUACUUCACAAGCAGAAUCAGAAGUUAAUAAGUAUCUUAUAGAGAUAUUAUAAAAUAUUAAUUUUUUAAAAUUACUUAUGAAAUAAAAAAAAUACACUUCACCCAAAUUAGUGUAAGAAAAAUAAUACAAAACUUGAUUCCAAAUCUUUUAAAAUAAUACAAAAAAAUCUAUCAACUAGAUUGUUUAGCGACAAAAUCAUGCAUGGGACAGACCUUGACAAUGGCUAAAUAAGCACUAGCUACAUUAUUUAUUUAUUUAGUCCCUAUAAUUCUGUUCCAAUUCAAGAAAUUUCGUGGUGGAUAUAAUAAAAAAAUUGUUGUUAAAAGCAAAUAAUUUUCGUCACUAAGUUCACAUGGUUCAAUUACAAAAAAAAUUAGUGUAAUUGUGAAAGAAAUUACCUUUUCUCUAAAGCUAUUUAUAGACCCAAUUUUUGUCAAAAUAUUUGCACUCAUUUCCCCUUUCUUUUUCCUUUAUGAAAAUGGCCUCCUUGAAAGAGAUUAUAUCAACACUCCCAAGAAGAAAAGGCUGGAAUGACUCAGAUAACGACCUUUUUUUGUAUCGAAGCUUCUAUUAUUACUCGUUUUUCAUUGAAGGAGUGAUGUCGGCUCAACAAAAUUUCCAAUCUCAACCUUCCGAUAUCAUCAUAUGCAGUGCAUCGAAAACUAGAACAACAUGGUUAAAGUCCCUCACUUUCGCCAUUGUCACAAGAACCACCUUCGAUGAUUCCACUAACCCUUUACUUACCAAUCUAUCACAUGAUUGUGUACCCCUUUUAGAGGUUGAUUUAGCCCAAUCUUCCACCAAUCGAGACCCUAAAAAUCCUUUGUUAGCCACACAUGUCCCUUACUCUUCUUAAUUACCAAGAUCAAUAAUUGAUUCCAGUGGUAAAAUUGUUUACAUUUGUAGGGACCCUAAGGAUUCAUUCGUUUCGCUUUAUCACUUCAUUGCUAGGUGAUUGGCAUCCAAAGACAUGAAGCCCCUUGCUUUAGAGGAGGCCUUUGAGCUUUAUUGCGGAGGUGUAAGCUUUGGGACCAUGUUCUAUGGUUUUGGAAAGCAAGUUUGGACCGACCUGAUAAGAUUCUUUUCUUGAAAUACGAAGAAAUGAUAGAAGAUACUAUUUUAUACAUUAAGAAAAUAGCUGAUUUCAUCGGUUAUCCAUUCUCUUUUGAAGAAAUUGAAAAAGGAUCAGUCGAAAAAAUUGUAAACAU